rnacentral:tRNA from 1 species
GGCUUCGUGGUGUAGUUUGGUAUCACGUCAGUCUAACACGCUGAAGGUCUCCAGUUCGAACCUGGACGAAGUCA